GCCGAGGUGGCGGAAUGGCAGACGCGCUGGUCUUAGGAACCAGUAUCUUCGGAUGUGGAGGUUCGACUCCUCUCCUCGGCA
rnacentral:tRNA from 2 species